UACGAAGGGGGCUAGCGUUGUUCGGAAUCACUGGGCUUAAAGGGCGCGUAGGCGGGUGCUCAAGUCCGGGGUGAAAUCCUCCAGCUCAACUGGAGAACUGCCUCGGAUACUGGGUGCCUCGAGGGUGGUAGGGGUAUGCGGAACUAUCGGUGGAGCGGUGAAAUGCGUUGAUAUCGAUAGGAACUCCGGUGGCGAAGGCGGCAUACUGGACCACAUCUGACGCUGAGGCGCGAAAGCCAGGGGAGCAAACGGG
rnacentral:rRNA from 1 species